rnacentral:snoRNA from 1 species
AUAUGGCCCUUAUCGAAGCUGCAGCUGCUUGUAUGUAGUUGCUGCAGUCAAAAAGGAGCCCAGAGUAAGAAUUUUCCUUGACGGUCGCCGUUCUGUUUGCUGUAACCGAUCUGCAGCAUUUUGGGGAAAGACAGUU